GACACCAUGGCUCAGUUGGAGAACAUCUGCUUUGGAUGCAGAAGACUCAAGGUUCAAGCCCUGGCAUCUGCA